rnacentral:rRNA from 1 species
UACGGAGGGCGCAAGCGUUGUUCGGAAUCACUGGGCGUAAAGCGCGUGUAGGCGGCCGGGCAAGUCGGGUGUGAAAUCCCGAGGCUCAACCUCGGAACUGCAUUCGAAACUGCUCGGCUCGAGUCCCGGAGAGGAUGGCGGAAUUCCAGGUGUAGGGGUGAAAUCCGUAGAUAUCGGGAGGAACACCAGCGGCGAAGGCGGCCAUCUGGACGGUGACUGACGCUGAGACGCGAAAGCGUGGGGAGCAAACAGG